ACAGCAGUAGCCACGGUAAUACGUAGGGUGCGAGCGUUAAUCGGAAUUACUGGGCGUAAAGCGUGCGCAGGCGGUUUUGUAAGACAGGCGUGAAAUCCCCGGGCUCGACCUGGGAAUGGCGCUUGUGACUGCAAAGCUAGAGUGCGGCAGAGGGGGAUGGAAUUCCGCGUGUAGCAGUGAAAUGCGUAGAUAUGCGGAGGAACACCGAUGGCGAAGGCAAUCCCCUGGGCCUGCACUGACGCUCAUGCACGAAAGCGUGGGGAGCAAACAGGAUUAGAUACCCCUGUAGUCCCUGUCUCUUAUAC
rnacentral:rRNA from 1 species